AAGAAUCUUUUCAGUUUUAUACAUAAAUAUAUAAGCAUGGUGCAUGCCAGUUUUGUGGAAAAGCUAAAUAAAUUUUGAACGAUGGCAUGUUUU
rnacentral:rRNA from 1 species